AUGUGGAUCCUGAUCUCCUGUGCAGCGAAUUUUGGGUGGUCCUUACAUCAACUUGAUGUGAAGAAUGCUUUCUUGCAUGGGGACUUGAAGGAGGAGGUCUACAUGGAGAUCCCACCGGGGUUCUCUACGUCUGAGACGGUUGGCAAGGUAUGCAGGUUAAAGAAAUCUCUUUAUGGCCUGAAACAGUCUCUGAGAGCAUGGUUCGACAAGUUCAGACGUGAUGUAUGUAGUAUGGGGUAUGGGCAGUGUAACGGUGAUCAUACACUGUUCUACAGACAUAAAGAAGGAAAAAUCACUAUACUUGUAGUAUAUGUGGGUGAUAUUAUUAUCACAGGGGAUGAUAAAGAAGAAAUAACAAGACUGAAAGUCGCCAGGUCUGCCAAUAGGAGAAAUGACAACGUAUGGGUAAGGCCUUUGAAGUCAAAAUAUCUGGGCCAACUCAAAUACUUUCUGGGCAUAGAAGUGGCCAGGUCUGCCAAUAGGAUUGCGCUAUCUCAAAGGAAGUAUACUUUAGAUCCCCUAAGCGAUGUAGGAAUGCUAGGAUGUCGGGCAGCCCGAACCCCAAUUGAUCAAAACCACAAAGUGACUGCUCAAUCAGGAGAGCCAAUGGAUAAGGAGAGGUAUUAG
rnacentral:rRNA from 1 species